UGUGCUUUGAUUGUGUUUUGGCUUGUGUUUGAUAUUGAUAUCUUGAGAUCUCUUCGUCCUCCUUGUUCAUGAAAUGGAAGAUUAUUAUAUAUGUUGUCAAAAAGGAGUACUAUAAAUCUGCAUUCUACUCAAGAUUUGUUCAAAGUUGUCUGUUGGCUUAUCAAUGGAGUGUGUGUGCAUUCCUUCAUAUGUUGUCACCACCACCCCUUCAUCUCUUGUUAGCCUUUGCACUUGCUUCUUCACAUUGCAUCCUUGAUGCGUGCAUCUAUAAUAGCUCCUA
rnacentral:misc_RNA from 1 species